rnacentral:rRNA from 1 species
AAACUAAAGCUCUGGAACGGCCUCUAGGUUGUUACACGCUUCCGAAGGUACGAAGCCCAAUCACGAAAGUAGCUUUAAUCCUCACCUGACUCCACGAAAGCUGAGAAACAAACUGGGAUUAGAUACCCCACUAUGCUCAGCCCUAAACAUCGAUUGUAUAACACAACCCCGAUCCGCCCGGGUAUUACGCACGCCCCCUUUCUUUAUUUCUAUUUAUCUUUUACCCCCCCCCCCCCCUUGGCUGAAACCCAAGGGAAUUGGCGG